rnacentral:rRNA from 1 species
AUUGAACGCUGGCGGCAGGCCUAACACAUGCAAGUCGAGCGGAUGAAGGGAGCUUGCUCCUGGAUUCAGCGGCGGACGGGUGAGUAAUGCCUAGGAAUCUGCCUGGUAGUGGGGGAUAACGUCCGGAAACGGGCGCUAAUACCGCAUACGUCCUGCGGGAGAAAGUGGGGGAUCUUCGGACCUCACGCUAUCAGAUGAGCCUAGGUCGGAUUAGCUAGUUGGUGGGGUAAAGGCCUACCAAGGCGACGAUCCGUAACUGGUCUGAGAGGAUGAUCAGUCACAUUAGAACGGAGACACGGACAAGAGUACUACGGGACGCAGCAGAGGGGAAUAGUGGACAAUGGGCGAAAACCUUACCCAGCCAGGGCGCGUGUGAGAAGAAAGUCCUCGGAUUGGAAAGCAGUUUAAGUUGGGAGAAAGGGCAGUAAGUUAAUACCUUGCUGUUGUGACGUUAACAACAGAAUAAGCACCGGCUAACUUCGUG